GAUCUUGCGACAAUGGGCGAAAGCCUGAUCCAGCCAUGCCGCGUGUGUGAAGAAGGUCUUCGGAUUGUAAAGCACUUUAAGUUGGGAGGAAGGGCAGUAAGUUAAUACCUUGCUGUUUUGACGUUACCAACAGAAUAAGCACCGGCUAACUUCGUGCCAGCAGCCGCGGUAAUACGAAGGGUGCAAGCGUUAAUCGGAAUUACUGGGCGUAAAGCGCGCGUAGGUGGUUUGAUAAGUUGGAUGUGAAAGCCCCGGGCUCAACCUGGGAAUUGCAUCCAAAACUGUCUGACUAGAGUAUGGCAGAGGGUGGUGGAAUUUCCUGUGUAGCGGUGAAAUGCGUAGAUAUAGGAAGGAACACCAGUGGCGAAGGCGACCACCUGGGCUAAUACUGACACUGAGGUGCGAAAGCGUGGGGAGCAAACAGG
rnacentral:rRNA from 1 species